UCAUAUAUACAUGACUACAAUUUUAAUGCACUAGAUCCCAUUAGAACUUUGAAGUUAAGUGCGCUUGGGAUAGAGUAGUACUAGGAUGGGUAACCUCCAAGGAAGUCGUAGUGUUUUACAUGCC
rnacentral:rRNA from 1 species